UACGAAGGGGGCUAGCGUUGUUCGGAUUUACUGGGCGUAAAGCGCACGUAGGCGGAUUCUUAAGUCAGAGGUGAAAUCCCAAGGCUCAACCUUGGAACUGCCUUUGAUACUGGGGAUCUUGAGUCCGGAAGAGGUGAGUGGAACUGCGAGUGUAGAGGUGAAAUUCGUAGAUAUUCGCAAGAACACCAGUGGCGAAGGCGGCUCACUGGUCCGGUACUGACGCUGAGGUGCGAAAGCGUGGGGAGCAAACAGG
rnacentral:rRNA from 1 species